CUAUGCGCCUUGCCAGCCCGCUCAGUCAGAGUUUGAUCCUGGCUCAGAAUGAACGCUGGCGGCAGGCCUAACACAUGCAAGUCGAACGGAGUUAUAUUGUAGCUUGCUAUGGUAUAACUUAGUGGCAGACGGGUGAGUAAUGUAUAGGAAUCUACCUAGUAGUACGGAAUAAUUGUUGGAAACGGCAACUAAUACCGUAUACGCCCUACGGGGGAAAAAUUUAUUGCUAUUAGAUGAGCCUAUAUUAGAUUAGCUAGUUGGUGGAGUAAUAGCCUACCAAGGCAAUGAUCUAUAGCUGAUCUGAGAGGAUGAUCAGCCACACUUGAACUGAGAUACGGUCCAG
rnacentral:rRNA from 1 species